GAAGCACCCGCUUCUUUCUUUCCUGGUUUCCUUCUACUUCUCGGUUCUGGCCUAGUUUGGGCACGAGUGGGGGGCGGGCAACAACUUGGGGCCAGCGGCCUUGGCUGCUCAGCCUCAUGGGGAUAACUCGAGCAGUCGGGUCCCCGGAGGGAGAGAAAUCAGAAGGAGAAAUGAAAACUAGAAUCAUUUCCCCACAAAGUCGAACGACCCACUCGCAUAACUCCUUUCUGGGACGGUCGCCCGCAUCUCAGCACAAGCCGGAAGGACCGGGAGAGAGCGCAACUCGGCGUCUGAGCCUGGCGGCGGAGGCUGGCGGUUUGGUGCACACCGACGCGAGACUGCGCCCUCGGGGACCCGGCGAGGGGCCAGAGCAAGCCCGCCCUGCUGCUGCGGGGGCCACGCGGGAGAGACCUUCGACACGAGCCGCGGUUUUGUUUCCAUGGAAGAAGAAAUUCACAGACCCUUGAAGCCUGUCUUAUGAAUCCCACGUUAAGCACCUCUACUUCCAGAGAAGAGAAAUGCUGCAACCCUGAGGAGGACGCUUUUAAAAGAAAAGAGAGAGGGAGAGACCUUCAAGAUGGUGGAGGAGUAAGACAUGGAGAUCACCUUCCUCCCCACAAAUACACCAGAAAUACAUCUACAUGUGGAACAACUCCUACAGAACACCUACUGAAUGCUGGCAGAAGACCUCAGACUUCCCAAAAGGCAAGAAACUCCCCACGUACCUGGGUAGGGGAAAAGAGAAAAGAAAAAACAGAGACAAAAGAAUAGGGAUGGGACCUGCACCAGGAGGAGGGAGCUGUGAAGGAGGAAAAAUUUCCACACACUAGGAAGCCCCUUCACUGGCGGAGAUGGGGGGGAGGCAGGGGGGAAGCUUCAGAGCCACUGAGAAGAGCGCAGCAACAGGAGUGCAGAGGGCAAAGCGGAGAGAUUCCCGCAUAGAAGAUCGGUGCCGACCAGCACUCACCAGCCCGAGAGGCUUGUCUGCUCACCCGCCAGGACAGGUGGGGGCAGGGAGCUGAGGCUCGGGCUUCGGAGGUCAGAUCCCAGGGAGAGGACUGGGGUUGGCUGCGUGAACACAGCUUGAAGGGGUCUAGUGCGCCACAGCUAGCCAGAGGGAGCCCAGAAAAAGUCUGGACCUGCCUAACAGUUAAGAGACCAUUGUUUCGGGGUGCACGAGGAGAGGGGAUUCAGAACACCACCUAAAUGAGCUCCAGAGACAGGUGCUUGCCGCGGCUAUCAGCACGGAGCCCAGAGACGGGCAUGAGACUCUAAGGCUGCUGCUGCAGCCACCAAGAAACCUGUGUGCAAGCACAGGUCACUAUCCACACCUCCCCUCCCAGGAGCCUGUGCAGCCCGCCACUGCCAGGGUCCCAUGAUCCAGGGACAACUUCCCCGGGAGAACACACACCUCAGGCUGUUGCAAUGUCACAUUGACCUCUGCUGCCGCAGCCUCACCCCACAUUCUGUACCCUUCCCUCCCCCGGGCCUGAGUGAGCCAGAGCCCCCUUAUCAGCUGCUCCUUUAACCCCGUCCUGUCUGAGCGAAGAACAGACGCCCUCAGGUGACCUACACGCAGAGGCGGGGCCAAAUCCAAAGCUGAACCCAAGGAGCUGUGCGAACAAAGAAGAGAAAGGGAAAUCUCUCCCAGCAGCCUCAGGAGCAGCGGAGUAAAUCUCCACAAUCAACUUGAUGUACCCUGCAUCUGUGGAAUACAUGAACAGACAAUGAAUCAUCCCAAAAUCAAGGCGGUGGACUUUGGGAGAAACUGUAGUCUUGGGGUUUGCUUUCUGCAUCUAAUUUGUUUCUGGUUUUAUGUUUAUCUUAGCUUAGUAUUUAGAGUUUAUUAUUAUUGGUAGAUUUGUUUACUGAUUUGGUUGCUCUCUUCCUUUUUUUUAAUAUACAGAUAUAUAUAUAUAUAUAUUUCCUUUUUCUCUUUUUGUGAGUGUGUAUGUGUAUGAUUCUUUGUGUGAUUUAGUCUGUAUAGCUUUGCUUUUGCCAUUUGUCCUAGGAUUCUGUCUCUCCUUUUUUUGUUUGUUUGUUUGUUUUUUGAAUAGUUUUUAGCGCUUGCUAUCAUUGGUGGAUUUGUUUUUUGGUUUGGUUGCUCUCUUCUUUCUUUCUUUCUUUUUUUAAAUUUUUAAUAAAUUUUUUAUUUUUUAUUUUAAUAACUUUCCUUCCUCCGUUCCUUCCUCCCUUUUCUUCUGAGCCAUGUGGCUGACAGGGUCUUGGUGCUCUCGCUGGGUGUCAGACCUGUGCCUCUGAGGUGGGAGAGCCAAGUUCAAGACAUUGGUCCACCAGAGACCUCCCAGCUCCACGUAAUAUCAAACGGCGAAAGCUCACCCAGAGAUCUCCAUCUCAACACUAAGACCCAGCUCCACUUAACGACCAGCAAGCUACAGUGCUGGACACGCUAUGCAAAAAAACUAGCAAGACAGGAACACAACCCCACUCAUUAGCGGAGAGACUUCCUAAAAUCAUAAUAAGGUCACAGACACCGCAAAACACACCAUCGAAUGCUGUCCAGCCCACCAGAAAGACAAGUCGUAUCAAGUAUCUUUUCCAACCACAACGCUAUGAGACUAGAUAUCAAUUAAAGGAAAAAAACGGUAAAAAAUACAAACACAUGGAGGCUAAACAAUACACUACUUAAUAACGAAGUGAUCACUGCAGAAAUCAAAGAGGAAAUCAAAAAAUACCUAGAAACAAAUGACAUUGAAAAUACGAUGACCCAAAACCUAUGGGAUGCAGCAAAAGCAGUUCUAAGAGGGAAGUUUAUAGCAAUACAAUCCUACCUCAAGAAACAAGAAGAAUCUCAAAUAAACAACCUAAACUUACACCUAAAGCAAUUAGAGAAAAAAGAACAAAAAAACCCCAAAGUUAGCAGGAGGAAAGAAAUCAUAAAGACCAGACCAGAAAUAAAUGAAAAAGAAAUGAAGGAAACAAUAGGAAAGAUCAAUAAAAUUAAAAGCUGCUUCUUUGAGAAGAUAAUCAAAAUUGAUAAACCAUUAGCCAGACUCAUCAAGAAAAGAAGGUAGAAGACUCAAAUCA